rnacentral:pre_miRNA from 1 species
AAUGUAUGACGUCGUCGACUUUUUGUCCAAUGUUUGACCAUUCGUCUUAUUUAAAAAAAUUAUAUAAUUUUUAUUUAUUUUAUUGUGACUUGAUUCAUCAUCAAAUGUUCUUUAAGUAUGACAUAAAUAUUUUUAUAUUUGCACAAAAUUUUUGAAUAAAACGAAUGGUUAAACGUUGGUCGAAAAGUCAACGGCGUCAUACAUU